rnacentral:rRNA from 1 species
AGCUCCACGAGCAUGUACGUAAGUUGUUGCAGUUAAAAAGCUCGUAGUUGGCUCUCAGACUCGUGGCCGGUGGUCCGCCCGAUAUGGGUGUGUACUGCUGUGCCCGGUCUACAUCUGGUCACUGUUCUUCAGUGCCCUUUACUGGGUGCUGUUGAAUGCCAGAAAUUUUACUCUGAAAAAAUUAGAGUGCUCAAAGCAAGCCGUCGCGCUUGAAUACUGUUGCAUGGAAUAAUGGAAUAGGAUCUCGGUUCUAUUUUGUUGGUUUUCGGAGUCGAGGUAAUGAUUAAGAGGGACAGACGGGGGCAUUCGUAUUGCACCGUUAGAGGUGAAAUUCUUGGAUCGGUGCAAGACGAACGACUGCGAAAGCAUUUGCCAAGGAUGUUUUCA